UCCCUAGUGGUCCAGCAGUUAGGACUUAGCACUUUCACUGCUGAGGGUCUGGGUUCAAGCCCUGGUCGAGGAA
rnacentral:tRNA from 1 species